rnacentral:rRNA from 1 species
UACGUAGGGUGCGAGCGUUAAUCGGAAUUACUGGGCGUAAAGCGUGCGCAGGCGGUUUUGUAAGCCAGAUGUGAAAUCCCCGGGCUCAACCUGGGAACUGCAUUUGUGACUGUAUGGCUAGAGUGCGGCAGAGGGGGAUGGAAUUCCGCGUGUAGCAGUGAAAUGCGUAGAUAUGCGGAGGAACACCGAUGGCGAAGGCAAUCCCCUGGGCCUGCACUGACGCUCAUGCACGAAAGCGUGGGGAGCAAACAGG